rnacentral:lncRNA from 1 species
UGAUUAAUGCAGCAGGAGUUUUGCAUCUCCAUCAUCAGGCUUGGCUGUUCCCGCUGCGACCUCUUUCUCCUGGUCGCCCGGGCUGGGCUGCAGCUGCAGGCCGGGAAGACCCUCAACACGGCCCUACAGGGUGUGAGUGGACAGGGCUCUCCUGUGCAUGGCCACCCUCGGCCUGCCGGCCACGUGACCAACACCUGGAAGAGAACGGGUGACGUCCUCCCCACCUCCCAUGGGCUGCAGCCUCCCAAUGACACAAGUGACCAGGAGUCAGAUGCUGCUCAAUUCCUGGCCACAGACGCUGUGAGUGAGUCAAAGGAACGGUAGCUGAUCCAGGGAGAGGAGAAAGCUCUGCGAGUUUUAGGUCUGGCAGCCGGUAGCAUGUGGGCUCGCCGCUGCUUUGCCUUUGUCUUCUUGUUUAUUCAGCAAUGAUAAUAGGAUGAGUCCUUACUCGUGAGCCACAUUCCACACUGUUGGUGUAACAGUGAUCUGCACGGCACGGACAGUGUUCUCUCCACAAACUGAAGCCCCAGAGAGGCUGAGGGACUUGUCCAGGGUUUGAACAUGCAAUUCACUUGCCAGUCCUUUUAUUGAUGGCACUGGAGCUGUUUGCACUUGGAGGCUUUUUAUAAAGUUUCUAUGAACAUUUCUGUACAGUCUUUCUGUGCACGUAUGUUUUCCUUCUCUUGAGUAAAUACCCAGUGGUGGUCUCAGAAUAGGUGCGUGCUUAUUAGAAACUCCAAACCCAGCUAUACAAUCAUCAGUGGACUAAUCCAGCACCACACACACGUGAUCCGGUCACCUCCCAACAGCCCCACCUGUGAGCCUUGUGGGACAGCCACAGCCACGAUGCCAUCAGUCUUUGUUUAUAACUAUUGUUGUAGGUGUGGAAGUGUCUUGUUGUGGUUUUAAUUUGCAUUUCCUUGGUAACCAAUGAUUUUGAGCACCUUCAUAUGUGACCUGGGCAUUGGAAUUUCUUCCUCAGCACCAACGGAAUGAACUACUGCUACUCAGAAUAACAUAAAUUGAUUUCAAACACAUUGUGUUCAUGGAAAGAAGCCAGGGAGCUGGGUUAGCCCAGCUGCUCAGGAGGCUGAUGCAGGAGAAUAGCACGUUCAAGGCCAUCAGGGGAAUUUAGCAAGGCCCUGUCUCAAAAAAUAAAAAGGUCUGGGAAUGUAGCUCACUGGUGGAGCAUCCCUGGGUCCCAUCUGCAAUACAACAAUAAGAAAAACAACAACAGCUGGAUGCAAAAGUGAUCACUCUGUAUGAUUUCAUUUUUAUGAAAUGAAACCACAGACAAGCCCCACAUGCAGUGAUCAAAGCCAGAUGAUGCAGAUGGGGUGAGGAGGGGCGCUGAGGGGAGGGGUGUGAGCAAAGUCUCUGGGUGAGGGGUGAUGUUUGCCUCUACCUGGGUGAGAUUUCACAAGGCUGCUGUUCUUGGCCAAGGCCAGCGGCGGGCAGCCCUGACUCAGCAGCCGAAGAGGGCAGGAGAGCAAACCUGCGCCACAGGGCCCCUCCCA